GAUGAACGCUGGCGGCGUGCCUAAUACAUGCAAGUCGAGCGAACAGAUAAGGAGCUUGCUCUUUUGACGUUAGCGGCGGACGGGUGAGUAACACGUGGGUAACCUACCUAUAAGACUGGGAUAACUUCGGGAAACCGGAGCUAAUACCGGAUAACAUUUGGAACCGCAUGGUUCUAAAGUGAAAGAUGGUUUUGCUAUCACUUAUAGAUGGACCCGCGCCGUAUUAGCUAGUUGGUAAGGUAACGGCUUACCAAGGCGACGAUACGUAGCCGACCUGAGAGGGUGAUCGGCCACACUGGAACUGAGACACGGUCCAGACUCCUACGGGAGGCAGCAGUAGGGAAUCUUCCGCAAAGGGCGAAAGCCUGACGGAGCAACGCCGCGUGAGUGAUGAAGGGUUUCUGCUCGUAAAACUCUGUUAUUAGGGAAGAACAAAUGUGUAAGUAACUGUGCACGUCUUGACGGUACCUAAUCAGAAAGCCACGGCUAACUACGUG
rnacentral:rRNA from 1 species